GUGCACUCUCUAUUUUUGCGGGACAAGAAAGAGUGAAAUGGGGAUCGCAGCAAGACUCGCGAUAGUCAACAAAUUUAAAAUAUAGAAAACGAGAAGAGGGCACUUUGGAGAACUUCUGGGGGCAGAUGCCUAUCUACAAUGAAGGUGUGAUACUAGGUCAUCUGCUUCAUAUUCGGGAACAAACCCACAGUCUGGAAAACAGGAAGAAGGCGCUGCUCCAAGAGCAGCAAGCGCUCAUUGUGGAGGCUGCCCACCGUAGAAACGAAAAUAUAAGAAGGAUCUAAAGAAGAAGAGGCAAUACCACCACAUGGCGGAAACCAGUAGGAACAAGAAAGAAGAGAGAGGGUUUGCUUGCUCUAUUUCAAUAUAUGAAAACAUAAUCUUAUCUAUUAAGUGAAAUAAUCUUAUCUAUUAUUUGUGAGCUCAACUACUCACAAAGAAACAAGAAUUGAGAUAUUAGAUUAAAAAAGAUUCUCCAUCUUGAUCUUUUGCUGUGUCAAUGGUAUACAAUCAAUUGCAGAUCGGAUAAGGAUAGAGGAUGAGCGAUAAAUUCAUCUACUCUAUUUUUCUUCGCGGUGGGUUUAUGCGGGUGCCGGCAAAACAACCCACCCAUCGUACACUAUUGUUGUACAAGAAGAAUAAUUUUGAAGGUGCCGGCUUUUCACCAAACUA